CAGGCAGCAGACCGGAGCCGAGGAGAAGGGCAGGAGACCGGAGGGUAACACUCAGCUCUGCACAAAUGAGUUGUGAAUGUUGCUGCAACAAAUAUGACUUGGCACUUGAUGGCAGCUGAAGCCCCACAAAACAUGAUCUUUCGUGUCAUCGAGGCAGACCGUGUUAGAAAAUUAAAACUCAGCUCCCGUCCAGCCUCUGUUGAUGCAGUGAUUGAGAUU